UACGGAGGAUGCGAGCGUUAUCCGGAUUUAUUGGGUUUAAAGGGUGCGUAGGCGGGCUGUUAAGUCAGCGGUAAAAGCCCGGGGCUCAACCCCGGCCCGCCGUUGAAACUGGCUGGCUUGAGUUGGGGAAAGGCAGGCGGAAUGCGCGGUGUAGCGGUGAAAUGCAUAGAUAUCGCGCAGAACCCCGAUUGCGAAGGCAGCCUGCCGGCCCCACACUGACGCUGAGGUGCGAAAGCGUGGGGAGCAAAUAGG
rnacentral:rRNA from 1 species